rnacentral:rRNA from 1 species
AUGGCUACUCUCCACGUGUUCCUCAGCCUCCUCCUCCUCCUCAUCUCCGUGCAAACUAUUCCUCCUACCACAGCCACAAAAGACGAUACUCUGGCGCCAGGCCAUGCAUUGGCCGUCGGCGACAAGCUCGUUUCCAGCAACGGCAAGUUCGCGCUUGGCUUCUUCCAGCCCGGCGCCGGGAACAUCAGUAAGUCAUCUACCUCUCCCGGUUGGUACCUUGCCAUCUGGUUCAAUAAGAUCAAUGUCAUCACCCCCGUCUGGGUCGCCAACCGGGAGAGGCCGAUCGCCGGACUCGACCUGAGAGCAACACAGCUCCAAAUCUCAGAAGAUGGCAACCUUGUCGUCUUAAACAACGCCACCCAGUCCGUCGUCUGGUCCACCCACAUCACCAGCAGUAAUAGAACCAACACCACCUCCACUAGCAGCAUCAGGGCCAUCCUCUUGGCCAGUGGAAACCUCGUCAUAGAAAGCCCGUCAAGUCAGGUGCUGUGGCAGAGCUUCGACGACCCAACCGACGUGGCGCUCCCCGGCGCCAAGAUCGGCUGGAACAAGGUCACCGGCCUGAACCGCGUCGGCAUCUCGUGGAAGAGCCGGAUCGACCCGGGCCUCGGCUCCUUCAGCGUGGGGCUGGAAACCAAUGGCACCAGGAUGGUGAUGAUGGGGCACCGAGGCUACCCUUCCCAAGUGUACUGGUCGUGGUCGCCCGACGAGUCGCCGAUGCAGAUGCCAGCACUCCGAGCGCUGCUGAAGAUGAACCCACAGACCAGAGGAUUGGUCGUCCCGGAAUACGUCGACAACAGCGAGGAGGAGUACUACAUGUACACCUCACCGGACGAGGCCUCCUCCACAUUCCUCUCCCUCGACACGUCUGGUCAGACCAAGCUGAACGUAUGGUCGCAGGCCAACCAGGCAUGGCAGACCAUCUAUGUCCAGCCCAUCGAUCUCUGCCGCCCAUACGCCACCUGCGGACCGUUCACCGUCUGCACCGGCAGCUCGCAGCCGCCCUGCGAGUGCAUGGAGAGCUUCUCCCGGACGUCACCUCAGGAUUGGGAGAUGGGUGAUCGGGCAGGAGGGUGCUCCAGACGCACUCCGCUGGAUUGCAAUGGCAACAGGAGUUCUACAGACGUGUUCCACCCCGUAGCUCGUGUCACAUUGCCUUACGGCCCCCGUAGCUUACAGGAUGCUCCUGCAACUCGGGGCGGAUGCGAAUCGGCCUGUCUCAGCAACUGCUCCUGCACUGCUUACUCCUACCAAGACAGCAAAUGCUCUGUUUGGCAUGGGGAGUUGUUCAGUGUAAACAAGGAUGAUGGCAUCGAGAUACGUUCUGAAUAUACUCUGUACAUUCGCCUUGCCGCCAGAGAUUUCCCAAGUUCCACAAGAGAUAAAAGAAAACCAGUACUAACCGGAGUUGUUAUUGCUGCAAGCGUUAUCGGUUUUGGGUUGCUAAUGCUCAUGCUGCUACUAGUGAUCUCAAGGAACAGAUUCAGCUGGUGUGGUGUGUCGUCAAAUGCCACCAAUGAAGGUAGUGUUGGUGUUGUUGCCUUUAGAUACGCCGACUUGGGCCGUGCUACAAAAAACUUCACAGAGAAGCUGGGAGCCGGAGGUUUUGGUACUGUAUUCAAGGGAGCUUUAAGUGACCUGACUAGUGUCGUAGUGAAAAGGCUUGAAGGUGCGCGCCAGGGAGAGAAGCAAUUCAGGGCAGAGGUAAGUGCACUUGGACUGAUCCAGCACAUCAACCUGGUCAAAUUGGUUGGUUUCUGUUGUCAUGGUGAUAAGAGGCUACUUGUAUAUGAACACAUGUGCAAUGGUUCUCUUGAUCCCCAUCUGUUCCAGAGCAAUGGUACAGUCCUCAACUGGAGCACCAGAUAUCAGAUAGCCAUCGGAGUUGCUAGAGGAUUGUCCUACCUGCAUCACAGUUGCCGUGAAUGCAUCAUACACUGUGAUAUCAAGCCAGAAAAUGUACUUCUCGAUGAAUCGUUUGUCCCUAAAAUUGCAGACUUUGGGUUGGCAUCGGUCAUAGGAAGGGACUUUAGCCGGGUUCUAACUACAUUUAGGGGAACUACAGGGUAUCUUGCCCCAGAGUGGCUUAGCGGGGUUGCUAUUACAUCAAAAGUGGAUGUUUACAGCUUUGGCAUGGUACUGAUGGAAAUCAUAUCGGGAAGAAGGAAUGCAUCUGUUGUGCACACUAGUGGCAACAACCAUGUCGAUUUUUUCCCUGUGCAAGCCAUCAGCAAGCUUCAUGAGGGAGAUGUGCAGAGCUUGGUAGAUCCAGAAUUAUAUGGUGACUUCAGCUUGGAUGAGGUUGAAAGGGUUUGCAAUGUAGCAUGUUGGUGUAUCCAGGAUAAUGAGUUGGACCGGCCAUCAAUGGGUGAAGUGGUCAGAGUUCUUGAGGGUCUAAUGGAGCUUGAUAUGCCUCCAAUGCCGAGACUGCUUGCGGCUAUAACAACACAAUGCUCUGAUGUCACUUCGAUGUAG